rnacentral:rRNA from 1 species
UACGAAGGGGGCUAGCGUUGUUCGGAAUUACUGGGCGUAAAGCGCACGUAGGCGGAUAUUUAAGUCAGGGGUGAAAUCCCGCAGCUCAACUGCGGAACUGCCUUUGAUACUGGGUAUCUUGAGUAUGGAAGAGGUAAGUGGAAUUCCGAGUGUAGAGGCGAAAUUCGUAGAUAUUCGGAGGAACACCAGUGGCGAAGGCGGCUUACUGGUCCAUUACUGACGCUGAGGUGCGAAAGCGUGGGGAGCAAACAGG